GCCUGUCAGCGUUUUUGAGUCUGUCAUCGAUAUAAUCAAUGGAGAGGCCACAAUGCUGUUUGCUGAACUCACUUACACUCUGGCCACUGAGGAAGCUGAACGUAUCGGUGUAGACCAUGUGGCCCGGAUGACAGCUACAGGCAGUGGGGAGAACUCCACUGUGGCUGAACACCUCAUAGCUCAGCACAGCGCCAUCAAGAUGCUGCACAGCCGUGUGAAGCUCAUUUUAGAGUACGUCAAGGCCUCUGAAGCAGCCUCAUUGUGCCCUUAGGAGAGGUUCCCUUCAACCAUGAGAUCCUGCGGGAGGCCUAUGCCCUAUGCCACUGUCUUCCAGUUCUCAGCACUGACAAGUUCAAGACAGACUUUUAUGAUCAAUGCAAUGACGUGGGGCUUAUGGCCUACCUCGGCACCAUCACCAAAACGUGCAACACAAUGAACCAGUUUGUGAACAAGUUCAACGUCCUGUAUGACCGACAAGGCAUCGGCAGGCGGAUGCGGGGACUGUUUUUCUGAUGAGGGCUCUUGGAAGGGAUGCUGUAUGGGGCUCAGACAACUGUGCCACGGGACUGAGCACUUUCCCCUUAGAGAAACUCACUAAUAAAGAACAGCCCCUU
rnacentral:lncRNA from 1 species